GUUUACCCGUUUUUACGCAACUUAUGAACAGUCAUUGCCGUCUUGUUCAUUCGUUGGUGAAAAAGUUAUUUUCGUGUUAAAAAUAAAACGGUUAAUUUUAGCAGUGGUGGAUUUCUGGGUUUGUAUUUGUCGAUUAAGUUACUAAAUAUUGCAAAUUCAAACUUACUCAAGGAAUAAACUCCACUCGGUUAUGUCGACUUACCUGGAAAAUCAUGUUAUCUUUAUGAGCACACUGCUCUUAACGUCUGUAAUAUCCCUGCCACAAGAAAAAUAUAUCAUAGACUUAAUCUCCAACACGCUUCCCCUCCGGAUCGACGAAGCAUACUCAAUCGUCAACACCGCCACAAAACACCCCCUCCUCCACACUUCUCCCCAAGGGCCCGAACUGCUCUACCUCUCCCACUGGUGGCAAUUCGUCCCCGUUUCCAACAACACGUACUACUUGCAAACGCAAGACGAGACUUUUAACAGUACAGCGCCACGAUGGGGUCGCUUUAUCCGUUUAGAGAAAUCCGACAAAGACCCCGACACGUACCACUUGCUGCCCGUGACGUGCUUCAAUUUCGACAAGAAUCGCCUAAUUAAUCCCCCCAACAGCUAUAUUUACGUCGACUACUUUGACAAAUUCGGUCGCGACUUGAGCGAGUGCGUGAACAAGACGAGGGUCGAAGCGGCCACGUGGCACACAAACUUAACGGAGGAACGCGUUUACACGAAACCUGCCGGGUUUUUGGACGAGUCAAACUUUCUGUAUAAAAUUUCCCCAGUAGGGGACCGGAUCAAGGAGAGGUUAACGGAGGGGGUUGAUAGGGUAGAAUUUAGUGCGGGUCAGGUCCACGACCACGUGGCCAAUGACACGCUGCUCCUUGUUGACCUCGAAAUUAAGGAGGCCGCAAGAAAAUAUGAUGAGUCACCCGCCGACGAUGACGACGGCGUGGAAUUAUCUUUUUUUAACUGUCACGCGGGACAUGAUUUCACCUUCGAGAGGACGAUUUGGUCACUGGUCAUCCCCUCCGGGGACGAAUUUACGUUAAUGAUGAACCCAAAGGUGGAUUUGCCCAAAUUCCUGUCCAUCGAUGCGACCGUGGAGGACGGGAUUAUUGGGAGAAAUUCCAAGCUGGUGGAUCCCGACUGGAAAAUUGUUUCCAACGUGGCGUCGAAUUUGACCUGGAUGACAAUUUCGGGGCUGGGUCCGUUCGGAAAUUUUGGGGAGCAUAAUACUUCGAGCAACUAUUUUUCCUAUCAGGAGGACGGGGAUCUUGUCAAGUUUCAUUAUUCGGAUACCAACCCAAAUUUUGUGGUGACUUUUCACUCCGUGAAACCAACCAGUGGAGAAGAUGGGAUCAUUUGCAGUAGAAGUUUUGAUGAGAUAUUCUACUCAAAUGAUGUCUUGAUCGGGCAUAAUUUCGAAAAACAGAGUGUUUUCGUCAUGCUCACGGUGGGUCUUGUCUUGGGAUAUUUAAUUCGGUGCUGCAUCAGAAAUUGGAAAUUAUCCGGGGAAUCACCGGGUACUGGAUACCGGGAAGGAAAUAUGAGGUCAUCAACCGCAAUUUUAAUAAAUUCUGAAGAAAUGGAAUAUUACAAGCCGGAAAUCAACGCCGAAUAUUCUAAGGCUUAGGAUACGAAAUAAGACUUAUCGGGGACGUCGACCUCCAUUCUAAGCAGUACACUGAAGUCAGCAAAAUUGCGCCACCUUCCUCAUUCACGAGUUGUACUUCCGAGUCGGGAGGAUGAUUUGGAGGAGUGGCUUGAAAAACAAAUAUUUGUAAAUAACCCAAUUAUCAGGUAAAAAUAUGUACAUAUAUUUAGAAAAAUAAAUUGUACCUUCAGAAUCCAAAGUUACGCUUGGAGGGACCACGGCGAUAUCACCUUCCUCCUCCUCCCCACUACUGUCAGAUGAAAUUUUGGGUGGAUUCCCCUCAAUUAAUGCUUGGGGGACGUUAUUUCUUCGACGAUGUGGGGGUUCCUCCUCGGAGUCACUCUCAAUGUUGGAAGUUUCCUCUGCCACCUUCAGCUUUUCACAUGCAAUUUCCCAAGAGGCUAAAAUAAAAAUUUGUUUAGGAAAUAGAAAUUAAAAAUAAUUUAAUGGCCAAGUAAAUAAGUGAAUACAAUUACCGUAUUUUCCUAAGAUUUUUUCAAAAUUUUGUUGUCGCCAUGAUGGGAGUGGGAGGGAGGAGCCUUUUUUAGACAAACUCUUUAAUUUUGCUGCUGGGGGCCAACAUACCACCUUCUCUGUCUCGUCAAUCCAUGACAGUGGUACAAUUUCAACUAAUUUCGUCCCCUUGACGUCAAUUUGUAAAAUUGAAAACUUUAAUGAGUCAGACAUUUUGAACACGUUGAAUAAAAAUGAAGUAAGAAAAUGCACGCGCUCCCAAGAGAGAGCAAAACUCAAUGUGGAAUUUUACGAGAAUUUUCUGUUGACUUUUUUGGUGGAAAACAACGGUGUGAAUCUACGCUACUUCUACUAUUAUUUCAUGCUAGGAUUUGUGCCAAAACUCAACCAAAUUCCCACAGUUAUAUUUAUGUAGACUUUAUUGAGGGGUUGACAACGGUGGAAAUUAAACCGAGAUUUAUACGUGUAAUUAACCAUGUUUUAGUAACCGUGGUUCGUGGUAAAAGGCUACCAUUUUUCCUAUAUAUUUUCCACCAAAAUUCCUGAUGGGGUUGCUUUUAUCAAAAGUUUUCAAGAUUUUUUUGUCUCGCCCAGUGAAUGAUAUGGAAUUGUUGUAAAUGUUUCCAGCAUCAGAGGCACAUUUUAUUUGCGACUUGUGACAAAUGUAAUUGUACACAUUUUGUAUAUGCAGUCUUACGAACUUUUAAGUGCAUAUACUGUUUUAAAUACAGAUAAAUGUAUGUACGUAUGUACACAUAGGUAAAUACAUAUGUAUGCAUUGUUUUAGUAUAUAUCAGUCAAGUUUUUUUAGAUCUUCUGUACAUGUUCUACUAUCUUUAAUUUGCCGACAAAGCAAAAUAACUAUGAAAAUAAUUACAAUUCAGGCCGAUAAAAUCAACAUUAAAGUAGGAUUUUAUACAGAAUAUGAGCUACUUACUAUAGCUCUAGUGCUUGAAAUACAAUUUUAAAUCAUUCAUGUGGGUAGUUCCUCCCUGUGAGUUAAACGCUUUAAUUAGUUUGUAAAUAACAUGCACAAUUUGUGACUGUGCAAACUCUGUGAUAUGCUGAAAUGAUCAUUAUUAAAUAAAACUGAAUUAGUCGUUUUACCAGUUAUUGAAAGUAUUCACGACGAGUUCGUAUCGCUAAAAGAACAAAGCAACCAAAAAUCCUAUGUAUUUGAAAAUUCAUUUGCGAACUUGAAGAUCUCCAAGGCUACUUAAUAAAUAUUUAGUUCGUAAAUUAUCUUCAAAAAUGCUGUAAUGCGAACAUUCGUACUCGUAAUAAAUAUCUAAUCAAUUCUUAUUAUUUCGCAUUGUUUAAACUAUGCGACAUUAAUUUAAAUUAACGUCGUGGAAUUUUGCACUGUGGUGAUAAUGAUCAUCACAAUGUAUAAAUAAAUAUUAUUCGGCAACACCUACGUACCCAGGUACAUAUUAAUUUAAAUAUGUAUUUGUAUAUGUGAUAAAAGGCUCAUUCCAUUUGUAAGCAACACGUUUGAUCGAGUACCAGAAAAUAGAGGUGCUAAACCCUGCUCCCUGGUGGUGGUUGCCUGGCCAUGUAUUUUUCUCUCUUUUGCAAGAGAACACUACACAACUCACACUUUGUCAAUAUUCCCGGCCACGUAGGAACACAGAAUUAUUUACUACUGUCUACACAAACAGCCCAUAUUAAUUUUACCUUUUCGAAAAAUUGACAAAACUCCAAGACGGACAAAAAUCGCGUGGGGUUUUAAACUUUUUUGCUUCCUCAGGCCCAAAGGCAUCGAUUGGCUUAUCUCUCAAUGAGCGAUUCUUGUCCGUCUUCUCGAUAAUCGAGUUUUUAAAUACAUUUCAAAUUUCAGAUUUUUUUGAAUUUUUAAAUUUUUUAAAAUUUUUCAUAGCAAAGAAUGAUCAAUGAAUGAAAUCUGUAAAUGUAACCUACCCCUUUGAACCAACACUUACCCGACGAAAGCAUUUUCAAUGCAUUUGCAAAUUUUCUUUUAAAUGCUAUAUCUUUACGAAAAAAAUUAAUUUUCAAAUUUUGAUUUUUAUGACAUGUUUUAUUUUACAUUAUGCAACUAUGAUAUGAUUGUGGACAAGAUAUCAAAUAUGGGUGCGACGACGAUCGUGUGGGUUCAGAUGGAAUGAGCCAAAAGAAAACCAUACUAUGUAAGUUGAUGCAAUAGGCCAUGUUACCCAGCUCCAUAUGGACGCAAGAGACCAUAGUACAUAAUACUCAAUGUGUGAAAUUUUUAAUUAACAGUAGGUUUGAAUAAAGUAUAUGAAUUGAUCAGU